rnacentral:rRNA from 1 species
AGAUUGAACGCUAGCGGGAUGCUUUACACAUGCAAGUCGAACGGCAGCGCGGACUUCGGUCUGGCGGCGAGUGGCGAACGGGUGAGUAAUAUAUCGGAACGUGCCCAGUAGCGGGGGAUAACUACGCGAAAGCGUGGCUAAUACCGCAUACGCCCUACGGGGGAAAGGGGGGGAUUCUUCGGAACCUCUCACUAUUCGGAGCGGCCGAUAUCAGAUUAGCUAGUUGGUGAGGUAAAGCUCACCAAGGCGACGAUCUGUAGCUGGUUUGAGAGGACGACCAAGCCCGACACUGGGACUGAGACACGGCCCAGGACUCCUACGGGAGCAGCAGUGGGAAUUUGGACAAGUGGGGGAAACCUGAUCAGCCAUCCCGCGUGUGCGAUCGAAGGCCGUUCGGGUUGUAAAGGACUAACGUUUGGAC